ensembl:lncRNA novel transcript, antisense to CEMIP
GUGAUCCUCAGUGUCCAGUGUCACCCAGAUGGGCCGGAAGCUGCCUUUGAAGCCAACGAAUGCCAUUUGCUCUGAAAAGCAAUGAUGAGUCUCCUGAGCAAAAGCCCUAUGAGAGGACGGCUGCCCCACCCCGUUCCAUGGCUCCCCAUCGCCAGCCCCCCACGCCCACCAGCACUUGCUCUGAAGGAACACUUGGUUCAUCAGAAGAAAAAAAGCCCAUUGUUGUCACCAUCUCAAAUCUGUUGGGUAGAUACCACAGCCGGGUCUUCGCAUGAUCCCCCUGUCUGCAGUUAGCAGAGCUGUCAUGCUGUGUGGCCGUGGAAUGAUCUCCAGAUUUCAUGUGAUGCCAAUGAAGUACAGGAAAAACUGGACUCCCAGAAACCACCACAAAGUAAUCACUCUCCCAUCUCUGCUUGGUACCUUUGAUUCUUCCACAAGCACAUCUCAGGCAGCCAAAAAGAUUGUGUUGAAUUUUAUGUUCUGUGGGUUUCUUUCCAAAAUAAUAGAUAUGGAGUUUGCAAUCUCCCCCGUGAGAAGAAUAUGUUUUGGGAAGAAUGGGAGUCAUAUGGAAGUGACUUGAACCCAACUCUCAGCCUGGAGUCAGGCUCAGUCUAGAGAAGCUGAUCCCUAGACAACCUGCAGAUACAUGAGUAAGAAAUAAAGACCUGUCAUGAAGUUUUAAG